CCUAAAUAGAAGAUGCCAAGAAGGGCCUUAGGUUAAUCUCUGCUUGAGUCAGUCACCUCCUGCUUGUUCUACUGGCAUGGACUAUACCCUCAGCUCCAGCCAGUUGGCUGGAAAUUUCUUGUUACUGGGCACAGGAAAAGACUCAGCGUAAAUCUAUCAGUGCGCCUAGGAAAACAACUCAACUGCGCAUGCCCAUUCUCAGUGGGUCUGGAGAGGCACCAAAGGCCACCCGAGGGAAAUUCUGACUGCAGCAAGGAUCAAAAUCACUAUGGGACAAAGCUGGAGAGGGAAGGCUCCCUGGGACCAUUGGCCUGGUGCCAGGCUCUUCCAGAGGAAAGAGGGGCAAAUUGGGAUCCUCGUCCGGGGACGGGGGCCAGGAAGGGGUUCUCCGGGCUGGCAAAGUGAGGUCAAGGCUGUCCUUCUGGACCGGAAGAGAGGCUUGCUCUGGGUCUGACCGACGACGAUCUGUUGAAUCCGAGAAGCUCUUGGCCCAGGUUCGCUGGAGGAGAGAGAAGAGGGAGUAAGAACUGGACCCAGAGAGGUCAGAGGAAGCCUUGCCUCUGGACGGGCGACGUGUUAGUUCCUCAUCCUACUUCAGUCCCCUCCCCCAUCCCAAGGCUCGAGCGUCCAGGCUCCACCGCACAACUAAGAGGUUGACGAGGUGCAGCAAGGCACGCAAGAAGUGUGUGUGUGAAGACUCAGUACCCGGGACUGUACCCCGUCCUUCUUGUCCCCAUCCCCGUGGUCACCCUCCCAAGACACCAGCGAUCCACUUGCCCUCUUACUUGAGCCUGCUCUACUUCAGACAGCGUGGCUGAGGUCAUGUCCUGGUGCUGAGUGAGGCAAAUUCAAAAGCCAAGGAGAAUGCGAAUCUGGUGGAGUGAGCCAGGCCAGAUAGUCUGCGUUCACUGGACUAGGCUGGAGAGGGUGGAUGAAGAGAGCCUGGAUUGUGAGAGUCCUGUGGAAAAGCGGGAAGAAAGAGUAAAGUGUGUGCUUUGGGUCAA